rnacentral:rRNA from 1 species
UACGAAGGGGGCUAGCGUUGUUCGGAUAUACUGGGCGUAAAGCGCACGUAGGCGGCGUCGUAAGUCAGGGGUGAAAUCCCGGAGCUCAACUCCGGAACUGCCCUUGAAACUGCAAUGCUAGAAUCUUGGAGAGGCGAGUGGAAUUCCGAGUGUAGAGGUGAAAUUCGUAGAUAUUCGGAAGAACACCAGUGGCGAAGGCGACUCGCUGGACAAGUAUUGACGCUGAGGUGCGAAAGCGUGGGGAGCAAACAGG